GCCAGCAUGGCAUAGUGGUUUGAGUGUUGGACUAUGACUCUACAGGCCAGGGUUCAAUUCUCCACUUAGCCA